UCCUUCUCCUUCAGUUUCCGUCCUUCUCCACUUUAGUCCUCAGCCCCUAAAUGGCUCAACCUUAAGUUCGAGUUCGACCAUUCAUCUUCGUCGUUGUUCCGUUCCUUUCGACGUCCCAUUUCUCCGUUCCGUUCCGCCGUCUCAAGUUCGACUUCCACCGAUCGUUCAUCCGUUUCAAAUCUCAAACGCUCAUCUUCCACCGUUCAUCUCCACUUCUUGUUUCCCAAAAUUUAGAUUUCCACUGACACGUUUCAAGAUAAUGUCAAGCCCUCUUUCACAACACAAGAACGAAACUCCAUGAGUUGACAAUUUUCAUGGACUAAGUUGAAUGCUCAGGAUGCUAAUAAUUGUGGAUUUAGAAGUUUGGUUCAUAGUUUAGAUGUGAGCUGUUGUUAUAUAAUUCUAUAGGAUUAAGA